UCUUUUCUUCAUCUUCUUCUCCUUCAUCCGAACAAAAUCGAACCAGACCCAUCAUUAUCACCAUCGAACAUAUUGAUUUAAGGUAUCUCCUUGUAAACGGGUUGGGUGUUUCACGGUUUUCUUCAAUAGUUCAGGUAAGUAAUUAAGGGUUUUUGUUUUUGUUUGUUGCAAUUUAACUUGCACUAAAAAUUUUUCACCUAACUUUCCCAAUCCAAGUUUCUUUCUGUCCUGUAGAACGAUCUCGGUCACCUGUAACUCAAGAACACAGCAAUAUGAAUGGCUUAUUGGAUCACAAUAUCAAUCAAUAGAGUUGGCUAAGUCUGAUUGGGUUGCAACAAGGAAAUCUCCACCUUGGGCCAUUGAUUAUUGGGGCUUUGCAAGAGGAAGCUGGUGGAAAAGAACCUCCAUGGGAUGAUGUCUUUUCAGCUUUGCAUCAAAGUACUAAGCAAUCUGGUAGCUUCGUCGACAACAAGUCU